ensembl:lincRNA Gm29442 predicted gene 29442
AAAUACUCCAUCUCAAACAAAAUAAAGCUGGGUGGCCAAAACCUGUUAACUCCAGCAUCAGCAGAGGCUGAAGCAGGAAGACUGAAAAUUCAAGCCUGAAAGAACUGUAUAGACUGACCAGCCUAAACAACUUGGCUGCCUUUCUGGCCAGUGGAGGAAGGAAGAUCAUCACUGGCAGUAUUCUCCCGCAGCUUUAGCGAGAACCGGCUUUCUCGGCUCCGCGGGUAGACGGCGCUGUAGGAUCAUCGACCUCUUGGUCAGGAUCAGCCCUGGUUCCGACCCUCUCUUUAAUUCUCCGGAAUAGGGACUGAAUACGUCCGAGCAUCGCCAAUUUUUAUGCAAAACUUUUGUGGUCGUGUCAAUCCCCCCGCCGCCACCAUCCAUUUCUGCAAUUCGCGUCCAGACCUGAAGCGCGUUUGGUUCCUAGCAUUCUGGUGGAAGUGACCUCCAGCUACUCGGGCCUCCAGGGCUAUGCUUGGGAAAUCUUGAUAGAGAUCCAACCCAGCAGCCCGGCAGCCCGUUCUUGUCUCUGUCAGCUAAUUGUUUAGUCGGAUGUUUGUUUAUCCUGGAGUGAAGGGGGGCCGGGUGCGCGGGGGUGGCUGCCCCAAGGGAAGCCUGCUUCCUGUCGUUGGCUUACUCAGCUACCAUUCGCCUACUUAAGUCCUGGAAAGAAUUGCAGAGCUGGGAAGGCCUUGCCGGAUGGUGCCUUCACCCAACAACAACA